rnacentral:lncRNA from 1 species
CGAUCCAAAUUUCGGAUUGAAUCACGAUCCAAAUUCCGACCAAAAUCUCGAUCCGGAUCCAGGCACAAAUUAUUUUAUACAAAACAACAUAUUAAAAAAUAUAGAUUGAACAGUAACACAGAAAAUAUCCUUCCACUAAUUUAAUGAAGUAAAAAUAUAUGAUCCUAUCUAUUUCAAAUCAUUACUAACAGGUGUGGCCC